rnacentral:rRNA from 1 species
CAUGUAGGCGGUUUGUUAAGUCAGUCGUUUAAUCCCUCGGCUUAACCGAGGUCCUGCGGAUGAUACUGGCAAACUUGAGUACGGGAGAGGAGAGUGGAAUUCCAUGUGUAGCGGUGAAAUGCGCAGAUAUAUGGAGGAACACCCGUGGCGAAGGCGGCUCUCUGGACCGCUACUGACGCUGAGAUGCGAAGGCGUGGGGAGCAAACG